GGGGGAGCGGGGGAGCGAGGGCUGCCUUUCCCGGGGCGCUGGUGGCCGGCAGGGCGUCCAGAGCUCAGGCUGGACUGAGGCCCCCGCGGCUUGUGUCCGCGCUGGCAGCCGUGGGAGGGGGCUUCUCUGUGAGUAACGGCCCCAGGAAAUUCCCAGGGCAAGAUCGUUUUCGGAGAACAAAGUCCUCCCGCCCCCUCUCCACGCCUGGAGCGAGACAAAAAGCCUCAGGGCGGUGAGAGGUGCCGCACCCCGGGAGCUGGAGAGAGGAGUCCGGGAUGGAGAAACUUUAAAAAGUAAAUGCCCAAACCAGCUCCUUGAAUGUCCAACAAAAGAAUGAGAAAACCCAGAGGGAGGUGAACCACAAAAAUUGCUUUGCAAGCAAUGUCCGGCACCAUCAGCAACUCCUACUGGACUCCCAGGAGUUUGCAAGCGUUCUUAACCCCUUCGGACGCUCCAGCCAGAUGCCAGUCAAACAGAUGAUGCUCUUGCUUGAGGGGAAAGGAAAGACACAACUUAGUGCCACCAGUUUUACUCGGAAACCGUUUCCCCAGCUUCUCCAGCUCUUUGUACUUAUUUGCGUGUUUUUACACGCAAUUUAGAACUAACAAGUCUAUUAAAGCUGUUAGAUGGAGAUACAUGCUCCACCCCACCCUCAGCCGCACCUUGGAUUUUAAUACUUCUGGAACGGUGCCUACAGGUACCAGGAAGAGCCAAACAACUUCACCUGUUGAAGACUGACUAGUGAUGGGGAACGGUCCUCCUGCUUCCCGCUUUUGUUUCCACUUCCCCCAUUAACUGUUGUACUCUGUGGAGGGGACUCCUUUCGGAAACAGCAAACCAGGGGAAAACUGCCUUGCUAGCAAAUUCACGGACUCAAAAAAUAAAUGUCAAGAAGGCUCAGAUUAAAAUACCUUUUAAUGAUAAAAGACUCCAGUUCGCAGUCUCAUCGUCUUGUCGAACGCUUGGAAAAGGAACUCACUAGGCAGAUAACCUUUUGUUCGUUAACAUUACGGGGAAACAAGAUGAGAGGCCUCAAGAAAGGGGUGGAACUGAGAAAGGAGUGAAAGCAGCAAAAUCUAGUCAGAUGCCAAAGGCUUGGCAGAAAAAAAAAACCCAGGGAAAACCACUGCAGUGUUUUUAGCUAGUUAUCGUGGAGAAAUUGAUGCCUUGAGUCUCUUAUCUGUCUACUCUCCAAUAUUUCUACUCAUGGACAUUCCAAAUAGUUCACUUGGAAGCAAUAUGAAUGUCCGGAGAUGAGGGAGUUUAUGUAAAUUAUGGUGUUGAAAAUAUACAGUAAAAUGUUUUUAAUAAAAUAAGCAAUUGCUUGUUAGGGCACAAAACUGGAGAACUGGAUAUGCAGCUAUAAAAUUACGAGCUUAAUUAUGUUAAAUGUUCAGAGACAAAGACUGUAAGGAAAUACAACAAAAUGUUAAGAAGU
rnacentral:lncRNA from 1 species